rnacentral:rRNA from 1 species
AUGGACGGAUCCACCGUCAACCGACUCGUCAUCCUCUUCCUCCUCGUACUUGUCCUCGCCACCAGCAACAGCGAGCAUGGACACGCAGGAGCCGUUGAUGCGGGCAACGUCGUCGUCGUCCGGGUCCGGCUAAUCGGCCGCGGCCCGGAUGACAAGACCACCGUCGCUGUGCAGAGACACGACCUCUCCUUCGCCGGCUUCACCGACGGCAGCGGCCAUUGGCACGCCUUUCCUGGCCUUGAGCAUCUCUUCCCCACGUCCACGACGCUCCCGUUCGGCAGCAGCUACAGCGACCUCAUCGGCGGCCUCGCGAACCUGCCGGGCGUGCCGCUAGGGCGGGAGGCCAUGCUGGAGGCCAUCCGCGUGCUCUCCGCCUACCGCCCCGGGGCCGACGUGGAGCCGGUCAAGCGGGCGCUGGCGGCGAUGAAGGUUGUGAUGUGCGAGGCCCAGCGGGUGAGGCCCAUCAAAGAGACCCUCAACGACGGAUGGGACACCGGUGCCCACGUCGCCCCCGAGCACCUGCCCUACAUCGAGCACUGGGACACCAUGUCCUACGAGAUCCUCCGCUCCAACAUUACGGGCAAGUGGGACGGGCCCUUCACCAACAUGCUGGAGACGGAAGCCAACAUUCACAGCAAGGAAGAGGCGCUCGCCGUCGUCGGGGUGCUCCGGAGCGUUGACUUCGAGCAAGUGAUUGAGGCUCACGCUUCCCCGAUCUAA